GACGAACGCUGGCGGCGUGCUUAACACAUGCAAGUCGAACGGGCCUUGUCCCCUUUUUUUUGGGGGUGGGGUUAGUGGCGAACGGGUGAGUAACACGAGAGUAACCUGCCCCUCACUUCUGGAUAACCGCUUGAAAGGGUGGCUAAUACGGGGUGUUCUGGCCUGCUCGCAUGGGUGGGUUUGGAAAGAUUCGACCGGUUUUGGUUGUUUUGGUGGGGGAUGGGCUCGCGGCCUAUCAGCUUGUUGGUGGGGUGAUGGCCUGCCAAGGCUUUGACGGGUAGCCGGCCUGAGAGGGUGGGCGGUCACACUGGGACUGAGACACGGCCCAGACUCCUACGGGAGGCAGCAGUGGGGAAUAUUGCACAAUGGGCGCAAGCCUGAUGCAGCGACGCCGCGUGAGGGAUGGAGGCCUUCGGGUUGUGAACCUCUUUCGCCAGUGAAGAAGGUCCUGCUCUUUGUGGUGGGGUUGACGGUAGCUGGGUUAAUGAAGCGCCGGCUAACUACGUG
rnacentral:rRNA from 1 species